AAGAAGUAGGAACGUGGCCACCAUAUCCUGAGAGUCAGGUCAGGUAAUACAUACUCCACACGGGAUUUUUAAAAAAUAAUGUUUCAUGGAAGUUAAACAAUUUGUCCAAGGGGAAGAAGAUGUGGAGGGGUCAUCACACACUCUCUGGGGAGACACCUGCCUCAUUCUGGACCCAGGUAGUGCUCAUCUUCUUCUAGGAGCCUCGUCUCCUCUCCUGAGCAGACUGACAAGUUACAUAAGGAAGACCACAGACAAGGAAACAGAGCGGUGUGGGGAUUACAAGAUCCCGGUGGAAUCAUUGCCAGCUGGACAAAGGUCUUCCUUCUGGCACAUUCCAUGGUAGCUGGAGAGCUCUGAGGUGGCCCUAGAGGUCUUGCUUCUUAGUACUCAGAUGAUUGAAUCCCGCACUACAGUACGGUCUGGGGAUAGAAUGCGUCCCUCGCUGUUACUCGAGGCCGGUGAUGUGAGAGUAACUUGACUGGCAGGGAAGUCAAAGAUGUUAGGAGGGAGCGACCGCCCGAAGAGCAGAAAGAGAACGGAGACAAAGGGCCUUCUCAGAGCAGGGGCGUCGCCGAGAUCGUUAUUUCCAGGAGGCUGGCUUGGUUCCCUCACACCCUGACGCAUAUCCAGAUGGCUGGAGCUCCGAGUAGAUGCUAGUGGAGUAGGUUUGAAUGGACAACCUGUGGCAGGACAGAUGCCCAAUCCACUGGUGGCUGAGCUCUUUGUGCAAAGCUCUUUGCACCUCGCUCCUUCUGGUGAUACCCCCCUCU
rnacentral:lncRNA from 1 species